AUAUAGGUACUAUAUAAAUACGGCUUAUGGGGGGGGGGGGAAUCCAUUGCCCAUAUUCCUUCCACCGUCAUUAGGAAGGGUUUGUGGAGUUUGUGAGUUUUUCAGGCAUCCGGUUGUAUUAGCCGACAGGAUUAGACGAUUAGAUGAUGAUGGAAAAAGUGAAUUACGGCUUUUUCCGUUGUGACAGGCAAUUUAUUAGCAUGUCUAUACAUUCUCGGCGGUCUCGAUUAUCGAGGCGACCGCGCAACACUUU